rnacentral:rRNA from 1 species
ACCUAAGAGAUUUGGCGGUACUCGUUACUUAUUAGAGAAAUUUGCUAUAAGAGAUCGAUAAUCCCCGAAAAAUCUUACUUUUAUAAGUAUCUCAGUUUGUAUACCGUCAUAGAUGUGAUUUCUAAAGAGUAUUAAUUAUUUAUUAGACUUAGUUGAGUGAGACAUUAGAUCAAGGUGCAGCUAAUAUAAAAGGUUAAAGUGAAUUACAUUACAAUCUUGUCAAAUUAUGGAAGAAGAACUGAAAUAUAUUUCUGAAAGUGGAUUUAAUGGUAAUAAUAUUUUAAUAAGUUAUUUUGAUUUUAGUUCUGGAGUAUGU